AACGAACGCUGGCGGCAGGCCUAACACAUGCAAGUCGAGCGCCCCGCAAGGGGAGCGGCAGACGGGUGAGUAACGCGUGGGAAUCUACCCAUCUCUACGGAAUAACGCAUGGAAACGUGUGCUAAUACCGUAUACGUCCUUCGGGAGAAAGAUUUAUCGGAGAUGGAUGAGCCCGCGUUGGAUUAGCUAGUUGGUGGGGUAAAGGCCUACCAAGGCGACGAUCCAUAGCUGGUCUGAGAGGAUGAUCAGCCACACUGGGACUGAGACACGGCCCAGACUCCUACGGGAGGCAGCAGUGGGGAAUAUUGGACAAUGGGCGCAAGCCUGAUCCAGCCAUGCCGCGUGAGUGAUGAAGGCCCUAGGGUUGUAAAGCUCUUUCACCGGUGAAGAUAAUGACGGUAACCGGAGAAUAAGCCCCGGCUAACUUCGUGCCAGCCGCCGCAGUAAUAC
rnacentral:rRNA from 1 species